UUGCUGUGAUGACUUUCUUAGGACACCUUUGGAUUAACCGUGAAAAAAAAACUUUGGUUCUGAGCAAC
ensembl:snoRNA SNORD58 Small nucleolar RNA SNORD58